GUGGCUACACCUGCUGCUCUCGGCUCGGGCCCCGGUCGCCGCGGGAGGGAAGCGAGGCUUCUCUCGGCGCUGUCCGCUGCGGUGGCCGCUGGUCCUCGCGCUCAGGUUUUAUAUAGCCCGCGGGCGCCCCCCCCGCGCCGCCCCGCAGGAAUGUCGCUCCCCUUCUCGAGCCAUAUUUGGGUGUUGGACACUAGAGCCCCCACCCCCAGCCGGCUCGCGGCCUGGGCCCCCGCCCGGGUCCCCUGCGCUGACCAAAGAAGGAGCGGCCUGGCCCGAGCCCAGGGGUGGGGGAACCAGCACAGUCCUAACGCCGCUGUAGAAGGCAUAAGGAGAAACAAUUUUGUGAUGAACUCAGUGACAUGCUUUGAGGGGGUACAUCAGUGAGAAUGGAAUCAUUCAUUUUUCUGACGUGCUUAACUGUUCCCAGAAUAGUUGCAAUUCACAUUUGGUGGUGGAGCUCAGCAACUGGGACAGGUGUGGAUUCUCUGGAGGAGGGACACAAGAGCACAUGUAACCCUCCUCUGUAGCCCACCUCAUGGCAGCUCUUCCUAAAACCAUCAACGUCAAUUAAAAAAUAGUUUGCAAGCUUUCCUAAGCCCAGAGUCCAGCAGCUUCAAACACACGAAGCGAUGAACAAAACACUUCCGGGACGCCUGGAUGGCUCAGUGGUUGAGGGUCUGCCUUCAGCUCGGGGCCCGGGGUCCAGGGAUGGAGUCCCGCAUCCAGCUCCCUGUGGGGAGCCUGCUUCUCCCUCUGCGUACCUCUCUGUGUCUCUCACGAAUAGAUAAAUAAAAUCUUUUUAAAAAGAAAGGAAAAAAAAAAAAACACUCCCAAGAAAGAGGCUGCUAGUUCAGCAAACCUGGGGGAGCGGCCUUGAGAACACCCAGCCAGACAUCUGCUCUCUGCCCACGGUUGGAGCUGUUUAAAUAGUCUCUGCCCGGUCACUACAGAGCCACCCAGUACCAUUCUGGUCUUGUUGAAUUCUCAUUGGCCUAGGGAACAGACUUCACCAGCGAGUGGAAAAACGGUCUCCAUACAUGUACACUUGGGGGGAACACACCAGUGCCCUGCUCUCGCCUGAUAAGCGGGUGACUGCCUGCAUACCCUUUUGAGAACUAAGUCGAGCUCAGCCACGUAGGGCGUGCCUGACAGCGCCUGCUUCUAAGUUUUCAGGUGCAACCCGGAUCUGGACACCCUGACAGGGCCCUUGCGUGCUCACAGCUCCCUCAUCCUCAGCCCUGUCCUCUGAGCUCCUCACAAACCUGUAUGCCCACCCUCGCUGGGCCUAAGCCUUCUGUCCUUUCCUAUCGAUUCAAAUAUGAAUCCAUAUAUAGGCAUUUAUAUGCCUUCAUAUAGUUAAAAGCAUAUAUGCUUUUAACUAUUCUGGGGUAGACAGGUGAGUCAGUUUUAAAAAUCAGAAAAGCAAGGCUCAGUGAGUUAGACCACAUUCCCAGGUCCCACAGCUGAGGCUUGGACGACCCUCCCUCCCACUAGCAGUCAGGGCGGGGUGGGAACUGCUUUCCACCUUUCUUAAAUGCUCCCCAAAACUUGGUUUGGUUCUGGAAACAUAAGAGAUCCUUAAGCGACCUUUUCCGAGGGGCCAAGACGUCGUACAGUGAAGUCAGGACUUCUGACCUGGCCAUCUCUACCGGCCUACGAUUCCACUGGAAACAUCAGCUCCCACCCCCCCAGUAUCUGGCACCGUGUGUUACAAGCCUGCACUUUGCAGUGAAGCAUUUCUGGGUGUACUCCCCUCCACUCUGGCUACAUGACCUUGGCAGCUUACUUCAAGAAAGACUCCAUAUUCUCAACUGAGGGACACUACCUACUCCUGAACACUGACUUGAAGAUUAGAACGAAGUGCCUAGAACACGGACACUCAAAUAGUACAGUAUCUUUCUUCUGAGCGUUUGGAGGAGGGGAGGGGGGUGAGAUGGUACAAGAGGGGAGCAAAGGACAUUCAAUAUUACUAGAACUGUUCGCUAAACAUGUGUCAACAUCAAAAACUCAACAAGAGUCAUGUAAUUUCACAGGAACUUGGAGUGCACAUAGAUUUUUGUACAAAGACUUACUAUUUUAGUAUUACCCAAAGUGGCAAAAAUAAAGUAAAAAUGAAAACAAAAAAACCAACCCAAACCAUUUACUCUCAAGUGUAAGAUCAUUAAGGAGGCAGAGAACUAUUAAAUAAAGCAU